GUUUAGAAUGCAAGGCCUCCUCAAUUCUCCACCCUUCCCCUCUUGACAUCUUUCUCUUCUUCCCUUCAUCUAUUGUGUUAGUCAGGUGCAUGCUGGUCUUCCCUCUAUCAAACUGUAAGCUACUUGGAGACUUGGGAUGCCUCACUCAUCUCUAUUCCCAAACCUCAGGGUCUAUCAUUCUACCUUCUGUAUAGACAGGACUUUCAUAGUUUUGAACAAGUCAGAACCUGAAAGAAUUUGCUUCCAGAAUAGGACAUUGACAGGAAAAUUAAGCAUGAUCAUGCCGAGUAAAAUAGGAAUAAGAAUUGGACCUACCUCAAGAUCUGUUGAGAAGAUUAUGAGAGAGCUGAUGGAUCUAAAAGAUUGGCGCUUGAAUUGGGAUCAUUUGUCUUGACUAGAACAAUCUCUUGCAGCUUGGAUGGAGAAACUUUACAGAGGUUUCAGCCAAACACUCAUGAAUUCUUUAAUGUGUGAAAUAAAUUUGUACAACGAAAGGCUAAAAAUUUGGGAGAUGCAGGAUGACUGAAGCCCGAUUCUGGGGGUUGUUACAGCACAGUUACAGGAUAUCAUAGUGCCUCAGAUCCCCUUUCAAGACUGAAAGACUUUCUACUCCAGAUGCCAUUGGCUGAAGACAGCUUCUAUUCAAACAGGGAAAUGGCCUGUCUGCAACAUGCAGCCUUUAUUCUUACCUGCAUGGCAUACUCCUUCUCCUUCUUUAAAAUUUGAUACCUAAAACUCUAUGGAGGAAGACAUUAUGUCUUAUUUGACUGUGUAUACUCAGCUCUUAGUACAAAUUUGCUGUAUUAUCAGUGUCUGAUGAUGUUGACAAUGAUGACGAAGAAGGAAGAAGAGGAGUUGGAGGAGGAGGAAGAAAACAUCCAGAGCAUUCAAUUUAUUCUAGUUAAAUUACUAACCAGAAAGAGAAUGCCCUCAGAAGUCUACUUUAUAAUGCUGUUUGGUUCUAAGUAAAGAGCAUCUAAUAGGGACACAUGUAAA